UACGGAGGGUGCAAGCGUUAAUCGGAAUUACUGGGCGUAAAGCGCGCGUAGGCGGUUUUUUAAGUCGGAUGUGAAAGCCCCGGGCUCAACCUGGGAACUGCAUCCGAUACUGGAAGACUAGAAUGCGGGAGAGGGAGGUAGAAUUCCAUGUGUAGCAGUGAAAUGCGUAGAUAUAUGGAGGAAUACCAGUGGCGAAGGCGGCCUCCUGGCUCGACAUUGACGCUGAGGUGCGAAAGCGUGGGGAGCAAACGGG
rnacentral:rRNA from 1 species